rnacentral:rRNA from 1 species
UGGGGAAUAUUGGACAAUGGGCGAAAGCCUGAUCCAGCCAUGCCGCGUGUGUGAAGAAGGUCUUCGGAUUGUAAAGCACUUUAAGUUGGGAGGAAGGGCAGUAAGCGAAUACCUUGCUGUUUUGACGUUACCGACAGAAUAAGCACCGGCUAACUCUGUGCCAGCAGCCGCGGUAAUACAGAAGGUGCAAGCGUUAAUCGGAAUUACUGGGCGUAAAGCGCGCGUAGGUGGUUCGUUAAGUUGAAUGUGAAAGCCCCGGGCUCAACCUUGGAACUGCAUCCAAAACUGGCGAGCUAGAGUAGGGCAGAGUGAAGUGGAAUUACCUGUGUAGCAGUAAAAUGCGUUGAUAUAGGAAGGAACACCAGUGGCGAAGGCGACCACCUGGGCUCAUACUGACACUGAGGUGCGAAAGCGUGGGGAGCAAACAGG